GAAUCACAGAAUCAGAGAAUGGGUAAGGUUGGAAGGGACCACAGUGGGUCAUCUGGUCCAACCUCCUUGUUCCUGAACUGCAACCCAAGUCUCAGGAAGAAAAUAUGUGUGCAAAAUUCAGAUCUGUUUGUAAGGCAGCCUCAGAGAGUGAAGUGUACCUGUGCAUCAUCUUCAUAAGACAUAAUUUUGUGAUAUUGUAAUGAGUACUGCUGG